UACGAAGGGAGCUAGCGUUGUUCGGAAUCACUGGGCGUAAAGCGCACGUAGGCGGAUGUGUCAGUCAGGGGUGAAAUCCCGGGGCUCAACCUCGGAACUGCCUUUGAUACAGCACGUCUUGAGUCCGAUAGAGGUGGGUGGAAUUCCUAGUGUAGAGGUGAAAUUCGUAGAUAUUAGGAAGAACACCGGUGGCGAAGGCGGCCCACUGGAUCGGUACUGACGCUGAGGCGCGACAGCGUGGGGGAGCAAACAGG
rnacentral:rRNA from 1 species